GCAGGGCUCGGGCAUGGCUGUGUUCCCCUUUCCUGCUGAUGUGCCCGGAGCAAAUGCUGCUUUCCUGGCUGUUUGAUCCACUGAUCCAGCGCAGGAAAUCAAGCGCCUGCGGCGAGGGCCGGCGGCGGAGCUGGAGAGCUGGAUCCCGCUGAGAGGAUGAAAACAUGGGGCUCAAGUUCUCCUGCCUGAAAGGCUUGAAGAUGUGUGUGAGCAGCGGGAACGGCAGCGACGGGACCCCGACGGCAUCCUCGGGACAGAAGCACCUGCACGUGCCCUCCAUCAUCGUCACACCUCCCACGCCCACGGGGACCACGCUGU